GACAGAGGUCCCGAGCGUUAGGCGGAAUCACUGGGCUUAAAGCGUGUGUAGGCGGAUGCCUAAGUACCUUGUGAAAUCCCACGGCUCACCCGUGGAACUGCUUGGUAUACUGGGUGUCUUGAGCCACUUAGGGGCUACCGGAACAAAUGGUGGAGCGGUGAAAUGCUUAGAUAUGACAUAGAACACCAAUUGCGAAGGCAGCUCGCUACGCAUAUAUUGACUCUGAGGCACGAAAGCGUGGGGAUCAAACAGG
rnacentral:rRNA from 1 species